AANCANCAGGAUNNCCCUAGUAACGGCGAGUGAAGCGGCAACAGCUCAAAUUUGAAAUCUGGCCUCGGCCCGAGUUGUAAUUUGCAGAGGAUGUUUCUGGCGCGGUGCCUUCCGAGUUCCCUGGAACGGGACGCCACAGAGGGUGAGAGCCCCGUAUGGUCGGACACCAAGCCUGUGUGAAACUCCUUCGACGAGUCGAGUAGUUUGGGAAUGCUGCUCUAAAUGGGAGGUAAAUCUCUUCUAAAGCUAAAUACCGGCCAGAGACCGAUAGCGCACAAGUAGAGUGAUCGAAAGAUGAAAAGCACCUUGAAAAGGGGGUUAAAUAGUACGUGAAAUUGUUGAAAGGGAAGCACUUGUGACCAGACUUGGGCCGGGCGGCUCAUCAGGGGUUCUCCCCUGUGCACUCCGCCCGGCACAGGCCAGCAUCGGUUCUCGUGGGGGGACAAGACCGUCGGGAACGUACACCCUCCGGGGUGUGUUAUAGCCCGGCGGACGAUACCCUCGUGGGGACCGAGGUUCGCGCUCCGCAAGGAUGCUGGCGUAAUGGUCACCAGUGAC
rnacentral:rRNA from 1 species